UACGUAGGAGGCAAGCGUUGUCCGGAAUUACUGGGCGUAAAGCGCGUGUAGGUGGUGGGACAAGUCUGCUGUGAAAGCGCCUGGCUUAACCGGGCGAGGUCGGCGGAAACUGUCGCACUCGAGGACGGUAGAGGGGGGUGGAAUUCCCGGUGUAGUGGUGAAAUGCGUAGAGAUCGGGAGGAACACCUGUGGCGAAAGCGGCUCUCUGGAACGGUACUGACGCUGAGACGCGAAAGCGUGGGGAGCGAACAGG
rnacentral:rRNA from 1 species